rnacentral:rRNA from 1 species
GAUCAUGGCUCAGAUUGAACGCUGGCGGCAUGCCUUACACAUGCAAGUCGAGCGGCAGCGCGGGGGCAACCCUGGCGGCGAGCGGCGAACGGGUGAGUAAUGCAUCGGAACGUGUCCUCUUGUGGGGGAUAACCAGUCGAAAGACUGGCUAAUACCGCAUGAGCUCGAGAGAGGAAAGCAGGGGACCCGCAAGGGCCUUGCGCGAGAGGAGCGGCCGAUGCCCGAUUAG